UACAGAGGGUGCAAGCGUUAAUCGGAAUUACUGGGCGUAAAGCGUGCGUAGACGGUUAUGUAAGUCAGGUGUGAAAGCCCCGGGCUCAACCUGGGAAUUGCAUUUGAGACUGCAUAGCUAGGGUGCGGAAGAGGGAAGCGGAAUUUCCGGUGUAGCGAUGAAAUGCGUAGAUAUCGGAAGGAACAUCAGUGGCGAAAGCGGCUUCCUGGUCCAGCACCGACGUUCAGGCACGAAAGCGUGGGGAGCAAACAGG
rnacentral:rRNA from 1 species